GGAGGGGUGCCCGAGUGGUUUAAGGGAGCGGUCUUGAAAACCGUCGGCCGAUGAGGCCCGUGGGUUCGAAUCCCACCCCCUCCGCCA
rnacentral:tRNA from 1 species